rnacentral:rRNA from 1 species
UUUUGCAUAUCAAUAAGCUGAGGAAAAGAAACCAACAGGGAUUGCCUCAGUAACGGCGAGUGAAGCGGCAACAGCUCAAAUUUGAAAUCUGGCCUCUUGGGGUCCGAGUUGUAAUUUGUAGAGGAUGUUUCGGGUACCGCCUCGGUUUAAAUUUCUUGGAACAGAAUGUCAAAGAGGGUGAGAAUCCCGUCUUGGACCGGCGGUAGGGCCUAUGUGAAACUCCUUCGACGAGUCGAGUUGUUUGGGAAUGCAGCUCAAAAUGGGUGGUAAAUUUCAUCUAAAGCUAAAUAUUGGCCAGAGACCGAUAGCGCACAAGUAGAGUGAUCGAAAGAUGAAAAGCACUUUGAAAAGAGAGUUAAACAGUAUGUGAAAUUGUUGAAAGGGAAGCGCUUGCAACCAGACUUGAGCGCGGCGGUUCCCCCUUGCUUCUGCUUGGGUUACUCCGCCGUGUCCAGGCCAACAUCGGUUCUGGGGGUCGGUCAAAGGCUCUGGGAAUGUAUCUACCCACGGGUAGACUUAUAGACCAGGGUGUCAUGCGACCUCCCGGGACCGAGGAACGCGCUUCGGCUCGGAUGUUGGCGUAAUGGUUGUCAGCGACCCGUCUUGAACCAAGGGACCAAA